CAUUUAGACGUGUGUGGUGGCGAAGACUCUCGGGCAACUGGGGGCAUUUAUGAACUUCGGGAAGUGAGUAUGCCCUUGGCAAUGAGGUUAGUCCGGAGACACCGCAAACAAUACACAUGGAUUGGUUAUACAAUAAAGAAAUGCAUAAGAACAUUAUGUUUACCCUUUUCUGAUUAUUGUUUUUUUUCCUCCCCACCUUUUUACCCUUUAUAUUAACAGUCCUAACCACUCCUCCAUAUAAUCCCAUAAAUUUUUAAACAAGUGGUUGAGUUGUCCGACAUGGGCUUAGGGAAGUGUGCCAAGUUUUGCCCUUAGGGGUUGUCUCUGUCGGUGUCCAUCCCGGCUCUAAGGGUGCUCCAUAUCCUUAAUAUGGGUUGGAAUUGGUCCAGAGGGUGUAU